AUACUCACUUUGGCAGUACAUAAACAAAAAUUGGAAUGAAACUGAGAAGAUUCGCCUGGCCUCCAUGUGAGGAGGACAGACAAAUUAGAGAAACGUUGCAAAUUUUU
ensembl:snRNA U6 U6 spliceosomal RNA